rnacentral:rRNA from 1 species
ACGAGUUACGUUAAGUAGCAAGGUUAAGCACUUAAGGUGCGGAGCCGUAGCGAAAGCGAGUUUUAACUGAGCGUUCAGUUACUUGACGUAGACCCGAAACCGGGCGACCUACCCAUGAGCAGGAUGAAGCGAAAGUAAAAUUUCGUGGAGGUCCGAACCCACGAGCGUUCAAAAGCUCGGGGAUGACUUGUGGGUAGCGGUGAAAUUCCAAUCGAGCCCGGAGACAGCAGGUUCUCCCCGAAGUAGCUUUAGGGCUAGCCUCAAGUGGCGAGAUACGGAGGGAGAGCACUGAAUGUCCUAGGGGGUAUUGCACCUACCGAAGACUAUCAAACUCCGAAUGCCGUCAUCUUAUACUUGGGAGUCAGACUGUGGGUGAUAAGAUUCAUAGUCGAAAGGGCAACAGCCCAGAUCGUCAGCUAAGGUCCCUAAAUGUAAGUUAAG